ensembl:lncRNA
AAAGGAGAAACUAUGCAUCUGAAAAGAAAAACGUGAAGAGGAGACCCCGAUGCCAUUACUUUGGAGCGCUGAGAGGGUACAAGAAGACGAUGUUAAAGUAGAAUUUCUGUGAAGCUGCUUACAAUUGAAGGAAAACCUCUUUCUCCUGACCUCCUGUGAUUUGAACACGGUGUACAUCGCCUGAGUCUCACUGUUUCAGACAGGCUGAAUUUCCUCACUGGGGAUGCUCUCAGCAGAGUAUUGGGACUGGAGGCACACUGUGAGUGUGAAGCACAGGCAGAACAUCACCUUCAACGGCUGUUACAUAUAUCUGAGUAAAAAUGUACAUCUUCUGUCCUUGAAUUAACAUUGGCGGACUAAACAUCUAAAUAACUGUGCUGAACAAGAUCAUGUUGUUAGAAGAUAACACAUUUUUCCUCCAGUGGGGAUGGCAAAGUUGAAAACAACCUCACUAGCUGAACCGUAGCUUUGGUUACAUCCGUAGCAAAAAAGAUCCCUUUUGGAAGAAGAAGAAAGCUUUGCAUACGGACAGUUCUUCUACUAAGGCUUCAUGAUGUCUGCUUCCAUGCCACUUGAACCUGCAGCUGUGACUUCAAAUAACAGGAAAACUGUGAAGAAGGAGAAUCCUCACAUGACAAAAACUUCACCCUCAUUUCAUCCUCCCUCAUCUAUUACUGAUAGUGAUUCCAUUAUUUCUCUCCUCUUUCCUUUGAACAUCUAAAUUGUCAUUUUAAUUUCAGUUUUUUCUCCUUUGUUCAGGGAAAUCAUUGGCAAGAUCCUGCUAGAUUUCCCCUUGCAAUGUUUCUAAGAUCCAUUAAUUUUAUUUCUGUAGCCAAAAUUUACACACAUUGCCCUGUGAAUACUGCAUAUCCAGAGAGAAGAAUGUAGUCCUAAAAAGAGCUCAUUGUUUCAUCUACCUGGUUAUUAACACAUCUCCACAUAGAAACUCUUGGUACUUUCCUUACAUUUUUGUUCCUAUCUUUCCCCGCCUUCCCAUAGCCUCACAAAAUUCUUCUUUAUGCAUGUUCAAGAUGCUUGUUUAUAACUACUUCCUGAGCUCUGAGAAGUGGACCAUAAUCACGCUUCCUUUGUUUUUUUUUCCCUUGCUUUUCCCAUGCAGACUCCAAA